rnacentral:rRNA from 1 species
GAGCUUGCUCCUUUGACGUUAGCGGCGGACGGGUGAGUAACACGUGGGUAACCUACCUAUAAGACUGGGACAACUUCGGGAAACCGGAGCUAAUACCGGAUAAUAUGUUGAACCGCAUGGUUCAAUAGUGAAAGAUGGUUUUGCUAUCACUUAUAGAUGGACCCGCGCCGUAUUAGCUAGUUGGUGAGGUAACGGCUCACCAAGGCAACGAUACGUAGCCGACCUGAGAGGGUGAUCGGCCACACUGGAACUGAGACACGGUCCAGACUCCUACGGGAGGCAGCAGUAGGGAAUCUUCCGCAAUGGGCGAAAGCCUGACGGAGCAACGCCGCGUGAGUGAUGAAGGUCUUAGGAUCGUAAAACUCUGUUAUUAGGGAAGAACAAACGUGUAAGUAACUGUGCACGUCUUGACGGUACCUAAUCAGAAAGCCACGGCUAACUACGUGCCAGCAGCCGCGGUAAUACGUAGGGUGCGAGCGUUGUCCGGAAUUACUGGGCGUAAAGGGCUCGUAGGUGGUUUGUCGCGUCGUCUGUGAAAUUCCGGGGCUUAACUCCGGGCGUGCAGGCGAUACGGGCAUAAACUUGAGUACUGUAGGGGUAACUGGAAUUCCUGGUGUAGCGGUGAAAUGCGCAGAUAUCAGGAGGAACACCGAUGGCGAAGGCAGGUUACUGGGCAGUUACUGACGCUGAGGAGCGAAAGCAUGGGUAGCGAACAGGAUUAGAUACCCUGGUAGUCCAUGCCGUAAACGGUGGGCGCUAGGUGUGAGGGUCUUUUC